GUUUGGCACCUCGAUGUCGACUCAUCGCAUCCUGGGGCUGGAGCAGGUCCCAAGGGUAUGGCUGUUCGCCAUUUAAAGCGGUACGUGAGUUGGGUUCAGAACGUCGUGAGACAGUUCGGUCCCUAUCUGCCGUGGGUGUAGGAAUAUUGACAGGAUCUGUCCCUAGUACGAGAGGACCGGGAUGGACGUAUCUCUGGUGGAUCUGUUGUCCUGCCAAGGGCAUAGCAGAGUAGCUAUAUACGGAAUGGAUAACCGCUGAAGGCAUCUAAGCGGGAAACCAACCUGAAAACGAGUGUUCCCUAUCAGAGCCGUGGAAGACGACCACGUUGAUAGGACGGGUGUGGAAGCAUGGCAACAUGUGAAGCUUACCGUUACUAAUAGCUCGAUCGACUUCUUCGUUCCCAUU
rnacentral:rRNA from 1 species